rnacentral:rRNA from 1 species
UACGUAGGGGGCAAGCGUUGUCCGGAUUUAUUGGGCGUAAAGCGCGUGUAGGCGGCCCGGUAAGUCCGCUGUGAAAGUCCAGGGCUCAACCCUGGAAUGCCGAGUGAACUGUCGGGCUGGAGUCCGGAAGAGGCGAGUGGAAUUCCUGGUGUAGCGGUGAAAUGCGCAGAUAUCAGGAGGAACACCAAUGGCGAAGGCAGCUCGCUGGGACGUACUGACGCUGAGACGCGAAAGCGUGGGGAGCAAACAGG